rnacentral:misc_RNA from 1 species
CGCAGCCGCGGUAAUUCCAGCUCCAAUAGCGUAUAUUAAAGUUGCUGCAGUUAAAAAGCUCGUAGUUGAAUUUCGGGAUCAAUAUGUUGGUCGUGCCUCGGUACGUACUAGCUUAUUGGUUUCUUCCUUCUGACGAACCAUAAUGUCAUUUAUUUGGUGUUAUGGGGAAUCAGGACUGUUACUUUGAAAAAAUUAGAGUGUUUAAAGCAGGCUCACGCUUGAAUACAUUAGCAUGGAAUAAUGAAAUAGGACGUUUGAUUCUAUUUUGUUGGUUUCUAGGAUCGACGUAAUAAUUAAUAGGGAUAGUUGGGGGCAUUAGUAUUCAAUUGUCAGAGGUGAAAUUCUUGGAUUUAUUGAAGACUAACUACUGCGAAAGCAUUUGCCAAGGAUGUUUUCAUUAAUCAAGAACGAAAGUUAGGGGAUCGAAGACGAUCAGAUACCGUCGUAGUCUUAACCAUAAACUAUGCCGACUAGGGAUCGGAUGAUGUUAAUUUUUUAAUGACUCAUUCGGCGCCUUACG